rnacentral:lncRNA from 1 species
GGGGGGAGAAGAAGCAUAGAGUAUACAGAGUGGGUUCUUAGACAUCUGCUUUUUAUCCUCUAUCAUCUUACAGAUCAUCCUCAGCUAUGUCAUCUCGUAUGCAUUCAGAGGCAUUGGAGGAUGAGCUUUAACAGUUGAAAGAGAAAUUGACAGAGUAAAAUCAACAACUUCAGGAGACCGUUGUUGCAAAUUAGGAGCUCCAGCAGACUGUUGUUACAUUAAAAGAGCAGAAUGAGGAGCGAAAUGAGAGAGAGCAG